rnacentral:rRNA from 1 species
GUUACAGCAGCCGCGGUAAUACGAAGGGGGCUAGCGUUGUUCGGAAUUACUGGGCGUAAAGGGCGCGUAGGCGGCGCAUUAAGUCAGGUGUGAAAGCCCUGGGCUCAACCCAGGAAUUGCACUUGAUACUGAUGUGCUUGAAUCCGGAAGAGGAUGACGGAAUUCCCAGUGUAGAGGUGAAAUUCAUUGAUAUUGGGAAGAACACCAGUGGCGAAGGCGGUCAUCUGGUCCGGUAUUGACGCUGAGGCGCGAAAGCGUGGGGAGCAAACAGGAUUAGAUACCCGGGUAGUCC